AAGACCCUGUGCUCCGGGUAUUUGAUUCCCGAAUUGACAAGAUCAGGCUGUUGAAUGUUCGGACACCCACUCUCCGUACAUCCAUGUACCAGAAGUGUACCACUGUGGAUGAAGCAGUCUGUAUAUGUGUUAGUCUACUUCUGGAUUCUCUGUUCUGUUUCAUUGAUCUGUUGGUCUACAUUUAUACCAAUACCACGCUGUCUUGAUUACUGUAGCUUACAUUAAAUGAUUACUGAAGCUUAUAUUAAAUCUUGAAAUCAAGUAGUGUUGAUCUUCUAACUUUGUUCUUCUUUUCAAAGUUGUUUUGGCUAUUCUGGGUUCUUUGUAUUUCCAUACAUAUUUAGAGUCAACUUGCCAACUUCUGCAAAGAAACCUUCUAAGAUUUUGAUUGAUAUUUGACAUCCUAACAGUACCAAGUCUUCUGAUCCAUUAACAUGGCAUAUCUUUCUAUUUAUUUAGGUGAUCUUUAAUUUUUCUCAAUAGCAUUAUGUACUUUUCAGGGUACAGGUUUUAUAUGUCUUAUCAGAUUUUUCCCUAAGUAGUUCAUAUUUUUUGGUGUUAUUUUAAAUUGUUUU
rnacentral:sRNA from 1 species